AGAGUUUGAUCCUGGCUCAGAUUGAACGCUGGCGGCAUGCCUAACACAUGCAAGUCGAACGGAAACGAUGGAAGCUUGCUUCCAGGCGUCGAGUGGCGGACGGGUGAGUAAUACUUAGGAAUCUACCCAGUAGCGGGGGACAACUCGAGGAAACUCGAGCUAAUACCGCAUACGCCCUACGGGGGAAAGCAGGGGAUCUUCGGACCUUGCACUAUUGGAUGAGCCUAAGUCGGAUUAGCUAGUUGGUGAGGUAAAGGCUCACCAAGGCGACGAUCCGUAGCUGGUUUGAGAGGACGAUCAGCCACACUGGGACUGAGACACGGCCCAGACUCCUACGGGAGGCAGCAGUGGGGAAUAUUGGACAAUGGGGGAAACCCUGAUCCAGCAAUGCCGCGUGUGUGAAGAAGGCCUGCGGGUUGUAAAGCACUUUCAGUAGAGAAGAAAAGCUUACGGUUAAUAACCGUGGGUCUUGACGUUACCUACAGAAGAAGCUCCGGCUAACUCCGUGCCAGCAGCCGCGGUAAUACGGAGGGAGCGAGCGUUAAUCGGAAUUACUGGGCGUAAAGCGCGCGUAGGCGGCUUUGUAAGUCGGAUGUGAAAGCCCUGGGCUCAACCUGGGAAUGGCAUUCGAAACUGCAUGGCUAGAGUAUGGUGGAGGGAAGUGGAAUUUCCGGUGUAGCGGUGAAAUGCGUAGAUAUC
rnacentral:rRNA from 1 species